UACGGGGGGGGCAAGCGUUGUUCGGAAUUACUGGGCGUAAAGGGUUCGUAGGUGGCUUGCUAAGUCAGACGUGAAAUCCCUCAGCUUAACUGGGGAACUGCGUCUGAUACUGGCGAGCUUGAGUGCAGGAGAGGAACGCGGAAUUCCAGGUGUAGCGGUGAAAUGCGUAGAUAUCGGGAGGAACACCAGUGGCGAAGGCGACUUCCUGGCCUGUUCUUGACGCUGAGGCGCGAAAGCUAGGGUAGCAAACGGG
rnacentral:rRNA from 1 species